UACGUAGGCAGCGAGCGUUGUUCGGAAUUACUGGGCGUAAAGGGCUCGUAGGCGGCCAACUAAGUCGGACGUGAAAUCCCCAGGCUCAACCUGGGAACUGCGUCCGAUACUGGAUGGCUUGAAUCCGGGAGAGGGAUGCAGAAUUCCAGGUGUAGCGGUGAAAUGCGUAGAUAUCUGGAGGAAUACCGGUGGCGAAGGCGGCAUCCUGGACCGGCAUUGACGCUGAGGAGCGAAAGCCAGGGGAGCAAACGGG
rnacentral:rRNA from 1 species